rnacentral:rRNA from 1 species
AGCGAAUAGAUACCCUGGUAGUCCUAGCCGUAAACGAUGGACACUAGUUGCCGGAAGAGUCAAAUCCUUCGGUGACGAAAGCUAAACGCAUUAAGUGUCCCGCCUGGGAAGUACGCCCGCAAGGGUGAAACUCAAAGGAAUUGACGGGGGCCCGGCACAAGCGGUGGAGCAUGUGCUUUAGUUUCGAUGCAACGCGAAGAACCUUACCUAGAUUUGACAUGGGGUGGAAAUUUACGUAGAAAUAUGGAACCUUCCGCAAGGAACACCCUACACAGGUGCUGCAUGGUUGUCGUCAGCUCGUGUCGUGAGAUGUUAGGUUAAGUCCUGCAACGAGCGCAACCCUCGCCCUUAGUUGCCAUCAGGUAAUGCUGGGAACUCUAAGGGGUACCGCCUGGUUUAACCAGGAGGAAGGUGGGGAUGACGUCAAAUCCUCAUGGCCCUUACGUCUAGGGCUAGACACGUGCUACAAUGGUAGAUACAGCGGGAUGCAAGCUGGUGACAGCAAGCCAAUCCCGUUAAAACUCUAUCUCAGUCCGG